rnacentral:tRNA from 1 species
GGGGAUGUAGCUCAGUGAUAGAGUGCAUGCUUUAUAUCUAUGAGGCCUUGGGUUUGAUUCCCAGCAACGCGC